rnacentral:misc_RNA from 1 species
GAUGAAGAACGUAGCGAAAUGCGAUAAGUAAUGUGAAUUGCAGAAUUCAGUGAAUCAUCGAAUCUUUGAACGCACAUUGCGCCCGUCAGUAUUCUGGCGGGCAUGCCUGUUCGAGCGUCAUUACGCCCCUCAAGUCCCCUGUGGACUUGGUGUUGGGGAUCGGCGAGGCUGGUUUUCCAGCACAGCCGUCCCUUAAAUUAAUUGGCGGUCUCGCCGUGGCCCUCCUCUGCGCAGUAGUAAAGCACUCGCAACAGGAGCCCGGCGCGGUCCACUGCCGUAAAACCCCCCAACUUUUUAUAGUUGACCUCGAAUCAGGUAGGACUACCCGCUGAACUUAAGCAUAUCAAUAAGCGGAGGA